AUGAACGCCUUGCUCAAGCCUAUAAGAGGGGUUCCCAUCUACCACCACCACCCCUCCUUCCAGCAGCUCCAGCACCAGCACAUGGCCAUGGCCUACCGGAGCAGCGGCGGCGGCUUCUUGUCGUCGAGGUCGAGGUUCCUGCCCGGGCGGCGGAGCGUGAGGGCUCUGAGGAUGCGGUGGACGACCACGCUGCACGCGCGAUUCGUGCACGCCGUCGAGCUCCUAGGGGGGCAUGAGAAAUUACCGGCGAUGCACGUUCAGUGGGAGGAGAUGUUUCCGUCGACUACAAGAUGCCUAUGGUGA
rnacentral:rRNA from 1 species